rnacentral:rRNA from 1 species
UACAAGUACCCGUGAGGGAAAGUUGAAAAGAACUUUGAAGAGAGAGUUCAAAAGGGCGUGAAACCGCUUAGAAGAAAACGGACGGAGCCGUCGGGAGCCUYCGGGAAUCAGUCUUACGAUGGGCGAACGUCUCGACGAUUCGGAACGCAAGUCCGAUCGUUGGGUACGACUAGUAGUCUUCGUUUGGCGCAUUUCUCGAAGGUAAGCACCGCGACCGAUACGAAAGGCCGACGAAGCGUUUGGAUUGAGGGCGAGACCUUUCGCGAGGUAUUCGUAACCAGUCCUUACGUCUUGAGUCGUCGGACCGCAGUAUGUAUCGAGCGCCAAAGUAAUCGUAUAUACAUCGGCCGCAAAGCUCGCUCGAGUAACGGAUAGUCGAUCAAUAGUGUYGGUACUUGCUCGCAGGUGCCGAUCUAUUCGAUUCGCCUUUGAAGUUAUCGGCGACGUUCUCGRUGUAUAGGCGUCUGCGGUGUCAGUGUCGGCCACCCGUCCGACCCGUCUUGAAACACGGACCAAGGAGUCUAACAUAUGCGCGAGCUAAUGGGCGGAAAACCCAAAAGCGUAAUAAAAGUAAAGGCCGUUUCGGACGGCUAAGGUACGAUCCUAGAGUCCGCGCGAUUUUAGGCGCAGUACCGUCCCGUCCCGACCGCUUGUCGGUAGGGCGGAGACAGAGUGCAUACGUUGGGACCCGAAAGAUGGUGAACUAUGCCUGAGCAGAGCGAAGCCAGAGGAAACUCUGGUGGAGGUUCGUAGCGGUUCUGACGUGCAAAUCGAUCGUCAGACUUGGGUAUAGGGGCGAAAGACUAAUCGAACCAUCUAGUAGCUGUUUCCUUCCGAA